CCCAGAGGCGACCACUAACACCAAUCCUGUUAUUCUUCUUCCACAGAUAUUGCUGGGACUCAGUCAUAUCUGCAGGAGUGUAUUUCCCCCUUAUUUUGGAUAGAUACUCGCAUGCUGUGACCACUCUUCUAUACCAUGCUUUUCCCCUUAAUGGUGCAUUCUUUUCUGUAUCGACACAUACUGAACUUCCUUAUUCUUUCAAGGAGCUGCAUGACUUUGCAUUCCCUGGAUGGCAUUUAUUUUUACCAGUCUCCUGCCAAGAGACGUGAAGGAGGUCUGCUCUUUUGCUAAUGCAAACACGGAGAUGAGGCUGCGAGGGACGAAUGAUUUCAACUUCCCACCUCCUACCCACAAACAUCAACAUGGAUCCCAAUUCUCUAUGCAUCCAAGGUCAAGCCGCCUUCUCCCGUUCAAAGCUCAUCCCUCCACCUGUGCUCAGAUAUCUCCCCUCCCACCUCCUCCGAGACCCCGAUUCAUCCCACCACCCGCCUCUCUUCUACCUCUGCCUCUUUCCACUGGUUCUUCCUCCAUGGUGCAUAAACCCAUGCAAGUCUCUUCCACUCGAGGAAGGAAGGAGACCAAAGAGAAGACACUCCUCCACACCCAGGUUUCUUACACAUGAAGUAAAUCUCUACUCGUUUCCUCUCUACCACUUCGCUUUUAGUGCAUUGUUAUUUUCAAAGUCAUAUAUGCACAUGGUGUAAGGGGUCGGACACAAUCACAAGGCCCAUACCCCAACCCUCUCCAACUCCCUUCUCCCCAGAGGCAGCUACCUUCACCUACUUCAGAUGUUCCUUCUGGUAUUGACCUCCAUGUUCCCAAACAACCUGCUCACUUUGCUACUUUCUGAUUUUCUUCUUAAGCAUCUCUGGCGUCCUGCCAUACGAGGUGAAGACUGAGCUCCCUUCUGCCCCUCUCCCCCACAGCCAAAUACUUUCCCUCCUGGCAUCCCAUACUCCCAAGAGAAUGGUAUCAGUGGAGGUUAGGUCAAUAUUCAAUAUUUAUGCUUUCAAGUCUACACGUAAGUUAUCCAGAGUCGUCCUGAUGACCUUUCUCUUCCAGCACCAGGUGGUCUUCCCUGAAUCACUGUCAUUUUGAGGGAACUCGGCAGAAAAAUUUGCCACCUCUGGACACAUCAAAAUGUCUUUAUUCCAUCUUUGUUUUGGCUGUUCUGAGAGUCCACGUCUCCCCUAAAAUCUCUUCCUCCGUGCUGUGAGGACAGAAGCUGGCCACCUAGGUAAGGACUGGAUUUCCCAGAACCCCAGAGUUGGGUGAGACCAUACGACUGUUUAUUCAGCGGAAUGUGAGUAGGAAUUAUCUGGGCUGCUUCCUAGUCAGACCUCUGAGCCGGGGUCUGCCUCCCCCACGUUUCCUCCUCCUCCUCACUGCCAGCUAUGACCCAGGCAGGCAGCCAGCCAGUCUCUACAGGACAGACGGCACUGCCCCAGGGCAGUGUCCCUCAGAGGUUACUGUGCAUUCAGAUCACCUGAGGAACUUCAAACCCAGAUACUGAAUCGGAAGAUGUGUGCGGGGCCUGCGAUUCUGCAGGUCUAGCGAGCUUCUAGGUCAUGUCAGUGCUGCUGACCUGCAGACCACACGUUGGAGUACAAGACCCUACAGGGUGGCAGAGCUGAGCGGCUCGUCUUGAUCUCCAGCUGAUCUGUACGGCUGAAUUACCCACGCUGGGCUGUUUUACGGGGGAAAAAAAUUAAGUUCUAUGUUGUUGAAUCGUUGCAUUUUUAGCCUUCAUCCUAGCACAGCCGGAGUAUAAAAUUCCAGAUUGGAACAACUCAGUAAAUAAACUUUCAUUUAAUCCUUA